rnacentral:tRNA from 1 species
GGCUGUAGCUCAGUGGUUGAGCGCUUGCCUUGCAUGUGUGAGGCACUGGGGUCGAUCCUCAGCAUCA